GAACGCUGGCGGCGUGCCUAAUACAUGCAAGUCGAGCGAACAGACGAGGAGCUUGCUCCUCUGACGUUAGCGGCGGACGGGUGAGUAACACGUGGAUAACCUACCUAUAAGACUGGGAUAACUUCGGGAAACCGGAGCUAAUACCGGAUAAUAUAUUGAACCGCAUGGUUCAAUAGUGAAAGACGGUUUUGCUGUCACUUAUAGAUGGAUCCGCGCCGCAUUAGCUAGUUGGUAAGGUAACGGCUUACCAAGGCAACGAUGCGUAGCCGACCUGAGAGGGUGAUCGGCCACACUGGAACUGAGACACGGUCCAGACUCCUACGGGAGGCAGCAGUAGGGAAUCUUCCGCAAUGGGCGAAAGCCUGACGGAGCAACGCCGCGUGAGUGAUGAAGGUCUUCGGAUCGUAAAACUCUGUUAUUAGGGAAGAACAAAUGUGUAAGUAACUAUGCACGUCUUGACGGUACCUAAUCAGAAAGCCACGGCUAACUACGUG
rnacentral:rRNA from 1 species